rnacentral:rRNA from 1 species
AGUGAACGCUGGCGGUAGGCCUAACACAUGCAAGUCGAACGGCAGCACAGUAAGAGCUUGCUCUUACGGGUGGCGAGUGGCGGACGGGUGAGGAAUACAUCGGAAUCUACUUUUUCGUGGGGGAUAACGUAGGGUAACUUACGCUAAUACCGCAUACGACCUACGGGUGAAAGCAGGGGAUCUUCGGACCUUGCGCGAUUGAAUGAGCCGAUGUCGGAUUAGCUAGUUGGCGGGGUAAAGGCCCACCAAGGCGACGAUCCGUAGCUGGUCUGAGAGGAUGAUCAGCCACACUGGAACUGAGACACGGUCCAGACUCCUACGGGAGGCAGCAGUGGGGAAUAUUGGACAAAGGGCGCAAGCCUGAUCCAGCCAUACCGCGUGGGUGAAGAAGGCCUUCGGGUUGUAAAGCCCUUUUGUUGGGAAAGAAAAGCAGCAGGUUAAUACCCCGCUGUUCUGACGGUACCCAAAGAAUAAGCACCGGCUAACUUCGUG